AAAUAUUUUUCUGUUAAACUAUCCACGAUUGCUUGCAGAUGAUUAUCUUCUUGGACAGCAUAUUGCAAACAUUGCAUCAACAUAUUUUCUAGUUUUGGCAAAAUAUUCCAUUGUAGUACUAGUUUUUUUGACUGGUCUUAGUUGAGUUUCCAGACUUUGAACACGGGCUAAUGAUGCUGUAGUGAAGUAUUUGUCAUUAUCUCCCAUACUCGAUGAAAUCUGGUGCUUUGUAGAAUUUUGCUUUUGAAAUGUGUUGUCAUGGAACCAACUAACAAAGAUGAGAGUGUAAGAUCUUGAAGUCUCCAUUUCUUAUGCAAGUCGCAACCCAUCUCGGUGAGUUGUGCGGAUGGUGACAGAGCGGAGGAUCUUUCGUUAUCUUUCUAUUUUAGGUUUUUAUGUUGUAGUUCUCUUACUCUUGUUAGCAUACUCUGUCCCAUAGAGGCUUACUUUGAGAUAUAAGUUAUAUGUAUUGUUUACUCAAGAACUCUGUUAUGUUUGUAUAUGAUUAGUCGGCCUAAAUUUCGCGGGUUGUGGCUGGUACUCUAUGACUAUCCUACUUAUAUAUAUCUAUCUUGAUUAUUAUUAUAUUA